GCGUCGAAGCAGUGUAUGUCAGACUUCCAAGAAAAGCUCGCAAUGUUACAAAUAAAAAUGCCUGUACCAUAACCGACACAGGUGGGUAGGUAGAGUAUACUAAGGGGCGCGAGAUAACUCUCUCUAAGGAACUCGGCAAAAUGACUCCGUAACUUCGGGAGAAGGAGUGCCUUAUUUAUAAGGUUGCAAUAACAAGAUCCAAGCAACUGUUUAUCAAAAACACAGGUCUCCGCUAAGUCGUAAGACGAUGUAUGGGGGCUGACGCCUGCCCAGUGCCAGAAGGUUAAAGAAGUUGGUUAGUGUAUGCGAAGCUGAUGACUGAAGCCCUGGUGAACGGCGGCCGUAACGAUAACGGUCCUAAGGUAGCGAAAUUCCUUGUCGGGUAAGUUCCGACCCGCACGAAAGGCGUAAUGAUUUGGAUACUGUCUCGGAGAGAGGCUCGGUGAAAUAGACUUGUCUGUGAAGAUGCGGACUACCUGCACCAGGACAGAAAGACCCUAUGAAGCUUUACUGUAACUUGAAAUUGGAAUUGGACUUUGCUUGCGCAGUAUAGGUGGGAAGCGUUGAAAAUAUUCUUGCGGGAGUAUUGGAGCUAUCAGUGAGAUACCACUCUUGUAAUGUUAGAUUUCUAACUUUGAGCCAUAAUCUGGUCAAAGAACAGUUUCAGGUGGGCAGUUUGACUGGGGCGGUCGCCUCCCAAAUGGUAACGGAGGCGUACAAAGGUUUCCUCUGAACGGAUAGAAAUCGUAUCUAGAGUGUAAAGGCAUAAGGAAGCUUGACUGUGAGACCUACAAGUCGAGCAGGGACGAAAGUCGGUCUUAGUGAUCUGACGGUACUGAGUGGAAAGGCCGUCACUCAACGGAUAAAAGUUACUAUAGGAUAACAGGCUGAUCUCCCCCAAGAGUUCACAUCGACGGGGAGGUUUGGCACCUCGAUAUCGGCUCAUCGCAUCCUGGGGCGGUAGUACGUCCCAAGGGUUGGGCUGUUCGCCCAUGAAAGCGGUACGCGAGCUGGGUUCAGAACGUCGUGAGACAGUUCGGUCCAUAUCCGGUGUAGGCGCUAGAAUAUUGAGAGGAGCCUUCUUUAGUACGAGAGGACCGAGAAGGACACACCGCUGGUGUACCAGUUAUCGUGCCAACGGUAAACGCUGGGUAGCUAUGUGUGGAGUGGAUAACCGCUGAAAGCAUCUAAGUGGGAAGCCCACCUCGAGAUGAGUAUUCCC
rnacentral:rRNA from 1 species